rnacentral:tRNA from 2 species
GGCGCAUUAGUGUAGUCGGUUAACACGCGGCCCUCUCAAGGCCGAGAUCACGGGUUCGAGUCCCGUAUGCGCUA